rnacentral:tmRNA from 1 species
CUUGAAAAAGUAAUAAUUUCUAUCUAUAAUAUAUUUUGUCAGGCAACUGACUAUGACACUAGAGGCGGUAUGAAAUAGGCUUUUUGGACCUGGGGGCAGUACCCAGCACCUCCACCAAUUUUUUACACGCAACCCUAAAGUCGUUAUCUUAGGCAACACUCUGACAGUCCAUAGUGCGGCCUUUACGGGCUGAAACUUGAUAUGUGAGUCUGGUUUUAGGAGUUAUUUUAAUUUUCGACAGGAGUGUACAUAAGCGUACAUGACUUAGAAAAUUAAAAUAAGGACGACAAAAUUGACCACAGACCCUAUUCCGAUGUGUGGUCGGAAAAGGCGAUAUAUGAGACUGAUAGUAGGAGGAGAAAAUUUUUGUGAAGCGGAGUGUACAUAGAGGUACAUGACCGAACAAAAAUUUGAAACCGACGCCCUAGCAGGCCAUAGAGCGGCUUUUACGGGGGUGAAACUUGAUAUGUGAGUCUAGUUUUAGGAGUUAUUUUAAUUUUCGACAGGAGUGUACAUAAGCGUACAUGACUUAGAAAAUUAAAAUAAGGACGACAAAAUUGACCACAGAGCAAGUUCUCAACGGGGGUGAAACAGGGUAGACAGGAAGUAAUAAAGAUACUUAUAGCUGUGUCCGGUGAGAUACCACCGUUAUCGGUUCAAAAUAAAUGAAUGCAAACGAUAACUUUGCACCUGUUGCUGUAGCUGCUUAAUAGCAAGGCAACGAACAUAAAUCCUUGUAGCUUUGGUUAGUUAUAAGUGGGGUCUGGGCCACCUAGCAACAGAACGGCC